rnacentral:rRNA from 1 species
AACAGGAUUAGAUACCCUGGUAGUCCACGCCCUAAACGAUGUCUACUAGUUGUCGGGUUUUAAUUAACUUGGUAACGCAGCUAACGCGUGAAGUAGACCGCCUGGGGAGUACGGUCGCAAGAUUAAAACUCAAAGGAAUUGACGGGGACCCGCACAAGCGGUGGAUGAUGUGGAUUAAUUCGAUGCAACGCGAAAAACCUUACCUACCCUUGACAUGUACGGAAGGCCGGAGAGAUUUGGCUGUGCUCGAAAGAGAACCGUAACACAGGUGCUGCAUGGCUGUCGUCAGCUCGUGUCGUGAGAUGUUGGGUUAAGUCCCGCAACGAGCGCAACCCUUGUCAUUAGUUGCUACGAAAGGGCACUCUAAUGAGACUGCCGGUGACAAACCGGAGGAAGGUGGGGAUGACGUCAAGUCCUCAUGGCCCUUAUGGGUAGGGCUUCACACGUCAUACAAUGGUACAUACAGAGCGCCGCCAACCCGCGAGGGGGAGCUAAUCGCAGAAAGUGUAUCGUAGUCCGGAUUGUAGUCUGCAACUCGACUACAUGAAGUUGGAAUCGCUAGUAAUCGCGGAUCAGCAUGUCGCGGUGAAUACGUUCCCGGGUCUUGUACACACCGCCCGUCACACCAUGGGAGCGGGUUUUACCAGAAGUAGGUAGCUUAACCGCAAGGAGGGCGCUUACCACGGUAGGAUUCGUGACUGGGGUGAAGUCGUAACAAGGUAGCCGUA